rnacentral:tRNA from 1 species
CAAUUUAGAGCUUGUAUAAGUAUCUUAUUUACAUUAAGAAGAAAAUCAUUGAUUUAAAUUGA